rnacentral:lncRNA from 1 species
AUCUAAUACAAUCAACAUUCUCACAUGCAAAUGCCAUCACAAGGACUUUUCCAAGGCUUAUAAUGAGGCUGGGCUAUCAAGAAAAAUUGGUUUUUCUGGAGCACAAAAUCCUUGAGUCAAGAGAGCUAAUUUAACAUUCAUAGUUCAAGCAUAACUCCUUUUUUUUUAACGAAUCUCACUCAUUCCCAACUUCUUCCCUUUUCCUUUUAUUUUUACAAUGAGCUUACGUUUCAUGCCUUUUUCUUUUCCUCUUUUUUCUUUUCUUAUGCAUUUUUCUUUUUCAACACUUGAGCUCAAUGCUUUUCUUUUACCUUUCAACUUUCGCCAAAC